CAAUACAUAUGCAACUUCUUUCAUGUUUCUUCUGGAGAGAAGAAAAAUUAUGCGGUCCUCACAUCAAUCUUGUCUCUUAUCUCUGUUUGUUGUAUGUGCUAAACAGGAGAAAUUCCAUAAUUUCUCCGCUUUCUCUCGCAUCAAACACUCUCUUAGCAAACUCUCCUAUUCCAAUUAUAGUAAAAUAGUUGGCUAUGUAGAUUACCA
rnacentral:lncRNA from 1 species